UACGUAGGGUGCAAGCGUUAAUCGGAAUUACUGGGCGUAAAGCGUGCGCAGGCGGUGAUGUAAGACAGAUGUGAAAUCCCCGGGCUCAACCUGGGAACUGCAUUUGUGACUGCAUCGCUGGAGUGCGGCAGAGGGGGAUGGAAUUCCGCGUGUAGCAGUGAAAUGCGUAGAUAUGCGGAGGAACACCGCUGGCGAAGGCAAUCCCCUGGGCCUGCACUGACGCUCAUGCACGAAAGCGUGGGGAGCAAACAGG
rnacentral:rRNA from 1 species